rnacentral:rRNA from 1 species
UGGGGAAUAUUGCACAAUGGGCGCAAGCCUGAUGCAGCCAUGCCGCGUGUGUGAAGAAGGCCUUCGGGUUGUAAAGCACUUUCAGCGAGGAGGAAGGCAGUCGUGUUAAUAGCACGAUUGAUUGACGUUACUCGCAGAAGAAGCACCGGCUAACUCCGUGCCAGCAGCCGCGGUAAUACGGAGGGUGCAAGCGUUAAUCGGAAUUCCUGGGCGUAAAGCGCACGCAGGCGGUUUGUUAAGUCAGAUGUGAAAUCCCCGCGCUUAACGUGGGAACUGCAUUUGAAACUGGCAAGCUAGAGUCUUGUAGAGGGGGGUAGAAUUCCAGGUGUAGCGGUGAAAUGCGUAGAGAUCUGGAGGAAUACCGGUGGCGAAGGCGGCCCCCUGGACAAAGACUGACGCUCAGGUGCGAAAGCGUGGGGAGCAAACA